rnacentral:tRNA from 4 species
GCCGGGAUAGCUCAGAGGCAGAGCAACUGUUUCGUAAACAGUAGGCCGUGGGUUCGAAUCCCUCUCCCGGCU